UACGUAGGGGGCUAGCGUUGUCCGGAAUCAUUGGGCGUAAAGAGCGUGUAGGCGGUCCGGUAAGUCCGCUGUGAAAGUCGGGGGCUCAACCCUCGGAUGCCGGUGGAUACUGUCGGGCUUGAGUACGGAAGAGGCGAGUGGAAUUCCUGGUGUAGCGGUGAAAUGCGCAGAUAUCAGGAGGAACCCCAAUUGCGAAGGCAGCUCGCUGGGACGUUACUGACGCUGAGACGCGAAAGCGUGGGGAGCAAACAGG
rnacentral:rRNA from 1 species